AUGGGCAAGCUCGUCUCCGCCGCGCUCCUCCUGGUGCUGCUGCUCGCGGCGACGGGGGAGAUGGGAGGCCCGGUGGCGGUGGCGGAAGCUCGGAGGUGCGAGUCGCUGAGCCACAGGUUCGCGGGCCUCUGCCUGCGCGGCCACAACUGCGCCAACGUCUGCCGGACCGAGGGCUUUCCCGACGGGAAGUGCCGCGGCGCCCGCCGCCGCUGCUUCUGCACCACCCACUGCCGCUAG
rnacentral:rRNA from 1 species